rnacentral:lncRNA from 1 species
AUGAAAAUUUUUGAUAUCUGUAUGAGUGACACAUCAGCCUGUCCAGGUUGGGGCGUUACACUUUCUCUCUCUAAACACACACUCUUUUUCUCCCCUCUCUCCUAGCAACCACCCACCACCUGCAUUUGCCAGAACCAUCAUCCUUCAUGGUUACUUUUUUGCAAACUUGACUAAACUCAAGGGCUUCUAGAAAUCUAACGAAAAUAUAUAAACCACAAACUGAAACUACAUAAACCAUCGCCGACACCACCGGUGCCACCCCUUCCACCAACGUCGUUUCCCGGUGAGAACCUUUUCCGCUUUUAAUAUAUAUAUAUUUUUACUUUAUACAACACGCAUGAUUAUAUGACAAAGUAGUCAAAUGAUAUGCGAAUGAGUUAAUAUGUAUUUUUUUUCUUUUAAGAUAGUUUUUUUUUAAAUAAUACGGUAUAAAGACAAUUGUACCCUCAUAUGCCUUGCAGAUAAUCUUAUUCAACUUUAAAAAUUAACUGAGUUAGAGCUAAAAGACAUAACAUGUAGAAUUUUGAAACAUUAAGUACAAAACUCAUCAAUUUUAAAGAUAAAAGGCACCACCUGAAAUUUGAUAUAUAAAGGACAACACUUGCAAUUUACUCUGAUACUUAAAAAUUAGUAGAUUUUGCUUUUUCGGGUAAUUUAAUUCAAAUGUAUAAUUAUUAUUACUAUUAUAAAUAUAAUAGAAUUGAACUGUUUUAGUAAGUCUUAGUAUAAAAAUAUCAUUACCAUUAUUUUUAAGAAGCAAUAUUGUCAUUAUAUGAUAUUAAUAUGAUUUAAAAAAUAUAAAAAAAACAAUUUUGAUUAGAAAACAAUUUUUUAGGGAUGAUAU